UGAGGAAUAUUGGUCAAUGGGCGGGAGCCUGAACCAGCCAAGCCGCGGGAAGGAAGAAGGAGAUAUGGUUCGUAAACUUCUUUGGCAGGGGAAGAAAGUGCAGGACGUGUCCUGUUUUGUAUGUACCCUGAGAAUAAGGAUCGGCUAACUCCGUGCCAGCAGCCGCGGUAAUACGGAGGAUCCGAGCGUUAUCCGGAUUUAUUGGGUUUAAAGGGUGCGUAGGUGGUUUGAUAAGUCAGCGGUGAAAGUUUGCAGCUUAACUGUAAAAAUGCCGUUGAAACUGUCGGACUUGAGUGUAAAUUAGGGAGGCGGAAUGCGUGGUGUAGCGGUUACAUGCAUAGAUAUCACCCAGAACUCCGAUUGCGAAGGCAGCUUACUAAGCUACAACUGACACUGAAGCACGAAAUCGUGGGGAUCAAACA
rnacentral:rRNA from 1 species